AAUUCCCAAAAAUCCUAAAGCGGCGCCCCUGACUACUGUUCUUCUUCUCCAGUCCGAUUCAACCCCAACUCGCCUGAAAACUCAGGCGAGUUCACUCACGCGCACCCUUAUUUCACCACGUCAGCAAGAUUCUAACGGCCUAUGAUAAAAUAAGAAGGUUCCUUCCGGAUUUUUCACGUGCCCUUUAACUCUUGAGCGAUUUGUUGGACGUAUGGGAGCCGUGGAUGGAUGGAAAUCAAUCCAUGCCCUCCAUCUAUCCCUAAAUCGUUCACGGAAGAUUGAGAAGAUUUCUAGAUCUUUAUAAGAAGGUUCGAGAUUUGUGAGGGGUUAUAUAAGGUAAGGGUUUUCUUGUUUGGGGGGGGGGGGUUGAAAAAAAGAGAAUUUUGAGGGAUUUUUCAGGCAGAUUUCAUUUGAGAGAAAAUUAGGGUUCUAGGAAAUGUUUUCUUCUCCUCUGUUGUUCAUCUUCGUUUUUAGUUUAAUUCCAGACAUAACAAAAAAAACUACAAAUAUUGGCUUCUUUUAGUUUGAUAUUCGAUCUUUGUUUUCUUCAUCUUUAAAUUCGGAAAGUUCAUUUUUAUUAUGGAGUUGGAUUGAGUUUGAGAGUCAAAGUCGUUCGAAUCGUCGAUUGCUUGCCGAUCGAGGUUUUGUUCGUGGUUGCUAGUUUCCAUUUCUCAGCUGUUGUCACUCCCAAUUUCAAGGCCGGAUUCGUUUGUAUUGGAUUCCAAACGAAAUUAAUCAAAGCUUCGCGCAAUUUGGUUCAAUCUCUUUUUCUUUUCUUAUGUCUGUUUGGAUGUUGAUUGAAAAUAUGAUAAGAUCCAUAAGAAUCCAUCUAUAGAAGUAAUUCUUUGAUUAAUUCCAUUAGAGGUUGAAUUUGGAGUUAGCAUUCAGUUUCAGUUCACGUUUGGAAAUGAUAUUUGACAUGUCGUUUGUUGUUUAAAUCCUACACUCACUGUUCUGAUUUGCUUCAGCAUGUUCAGUUAGCAAAAGUUAAUUCGAAUGGUCGUUUUCUAUUGCCUCUAAUGCUUUAGCCAUUAACUCAAAAGUUAAUUCACUAUUCUGCCCUACCUUAUGAUUGUCAAAUGAGUCUGAAUCAAUAAUGUAUAUUCUCGUGGUUCUUCACUUGGUUUAUCUGAUUCUCUAGUAUGAGUGAUUUCUGGUGCUAGAAUAUUUAGACCGUAGUUAAAUUGUUAGGGUUGUAUGCCUGCUCGUCGACACCUAAAUCGUUAUGUUCUCUUCUUUUGAACGAGCAUAACAGUUUGUGCUUGGAUUCUGUUGUUAUCAAAAGAUUAAUCACAUGACUUUAGGAAGGUUGAAAUGGGUGUUUCAAUCUCUUGGAGUUUCAUGAGUUUAGUCGUCUUCCUCAUGUUCUGAUUUGCUCGAUCCCUUAUAUGUUCGAUUGAGAAACGUUAGACUUCAUGACCAUUAGUUGAAAGCUUGAACUGUUGGUGUACUUGUGUGUGGUUUUCCAGAAACAAUCUUUGCUUGCCUCUUUAGUUUCUAUGCAUAUUAAUUGGCAACACUUAACUUCAUGUAAAAUUAAAGCUUCCAGUCCAUGUCUCUAAGGUUUGCAUUCCUGGUGCAUUUGUUGAACCCCACUGAUUCUAAGUUGUAUUUGUUUAAAUCUUAGUCAAUGGGUUUGUUGUCAUAUUUGGAUUAAAUUUUCAUGUUUGUCCCUUUUCUUUGCUAUUAUAGUAGGUGAUGUUUGAUUUACAGUACCCAUAUGAGCUUGCUAAUUGUUCUAGUUUCUGUUAUCUUAGUCAUUUUCUCGUAUAUUGAACCCUAUAAAUUGUUCUCACGGGCCUUAUUCGUUAAAGUCGAUACAUGCUGCUUCUAGGAUACAUGAGUGAAGUUGUAUAUGAAAUUAAGUGAAGUGUGAAAGUAGUUAAUUGUUGGAUUAUAUUGCUAAAGAAACCUGUUGAGAAUUGUUUAUACUGUUGGUGUAAGAAUAGUUACAUGCAAGGGGCCAUAUCAUCUUUUUUUUCUUUGAUCUUCUGGAAUACAUCCAAAUCCACUAGGAAUAAAUACCUUGCCUCCUUUUACUGAUUGUUUGUCGCGGAAAUAUGUAACUUUACAAUUCAUAUAUUUAUGUGGCUUUUCUUAUGGUUCAUCAGUAGAAAUUAAUAGAAGCCCUUAGCAUUCCAUUAUCAACAUAGCUUCACUCCACGUACUGUUGGUAGUUUGCACUAUUUUAUUGGUUAGCGUGAUUGUGUAUACGUUCACGUAACAUGAUUACAAUUCUAAAAAUCAUAUUCGGAGUAUGCAUUCGCGCAACUUCGGUUAAACUCUCUUAAUAUUAAAAUUGUUUUAAUAGGCCACUAAUUAAUUUUAGUUUAUAUAGUUUUGAGGUGUGACAUCUAUAGUUUAAUUAUUCAUGGCCCUCAUAUUGAUAACCUAGAUAUAAAAAUAACAUAUGAUUGUAGUUUGCUUUAGGCACGUUUAAUAUAUUAUCGUGGUCGUGGACACGUUAGCGUGACAUGAUUACGAUUUUAAAAACAAAAUCGGAGUAUGAGUUCGCGCAACUUUGGCGAAACUUUUCUUAAUAAUAAUAAAGCAUUAUUAAUUGUGGACACGUUCGCGUGACAUGAUUUUUGACGCGCUGAACAAAUGGGUACACAUGCGCAUGACCCGUUUCAAGAUAAUUUCUUAAUUAAAAGGCGGUAAAAGGUAAAAGCACCUAGGUUAUUAAAUAAGUAAUUUGACAAUUUAAAAAGCCAAGUAUGAUCAAAGAGACCGUGCUAGAAUCACGGAACUCGGGGAUGCCUAACACCUUCUCUCGAGUUAACAAAAUUCGUUACCCGAAUUUUUGUUUUCGCAGACUAUAAAUAAGAGUCAACUUCCUCGAUUCGGGAUUUUAAACUAGUGACUUGGGACACCAUAAUUCUCUCAAGUGGCGUCUCUGAUUUUUAAAUAAAUCAUCCUGUUUCAGUUAUUGUCACUUUAUUUGGAAAAAACUCCUUUUACCCCCCUUCCGGGGUAGAAAAAGGAGGUGUGACAACUCUGGUGACUCUGCUGGGGACCGAACCCAGAAUCUCUGGUUCAGGGUUUAAGAAUUUGAGCUUGUUAAUGAUUUUUACUUGACUUCAUUUAUUGUUAAUAUUACUGUAUUCUGUGAACCUUUUGUGCUAAAUGCUAUCUGUUUACCACUUUAAUAUUGUUUGAAUUGUAUAUAACUGUCUUCUUACGCAACUCCUCUGAGUCUUCUGAAAAUGGUUCACACGUUCGCGUGGCCUGCUUUUUUUGUAGAAAUUCUACCAAAAAGAAUGAGGCUGGGCAAGCGACAAGGCAUGGUAGACUUCAGUGCUCCCAGUAUGUCCCCCCCUCUUCAGCCCCAGUUGUCCGCUCGGGUACCCCAAGUCUAGACCAAAAUCUCGGGAUUUAAACCUAGAAAAACACAUCUUCACGUCGGAUCCCUAGAAGUACGUUUUGUUUGCAUCAUGUGCAUUUGACUUAGGGGACUCAACACAGGGGUUGGGUCCGUCUAGGAUAGGUGUGCCCAAAAUAACAGACCAUCCUGAUGCAUUCUAUGUGCUAUGCGGACAUUUAUUUGUUUCGACUCGCAUGCUGAUCGGCUAGGGAAAAUAAAGCAAAGAGAAAAACCAUGAGUGAUGCAGGGAGGAAAUAAAGCCCAGUUCUAAAGAAAAACUCGGUAUUUGAAAACAUCCCGAAACUCUGCCAAAAUUUUUCAAAAAAAAAAGAGUUAUUUCAAAGGAGUCAAACACUAUGUCCUUUCAAAUGUGUCAAAACUGACCGAACUACGCAGGUCUGAUUCUCACCGAAUAUGGGAUACGUAGGCAACCCACAUAAGGUUCGACCUCAUUUUUACAAAUAAUAAAUAAAGGGUGUUUCAGGGCUUUGGUCAAAAUAAUAAGCCGACCCAGCUUCGGUUGUAUUUUAAAUUGUUUCUUACAGGAAUAGCCUUAGAUUAUAUUUCAAUUGUCGAAAGGCUAUUUUUGGGAGGGACAGGCAAGUCUGUUUAAAAGGUGUCUUUUUCAACUAAAUACUUACCUCCUGGCCUCAAAAUUUGUUUGGAAUUGUGAAGGGGCCAGGUUUGCAAAAACGAUCAUUUUUUGCUAAAGUAGCAAUGAAAGGGGUAUUUUUUCCGUUGAUUUUCUUUAGAAAACUUGUUUUGCAAAAGAUUCUACAAGAGUCAACCCUAACCUCAGCCCUCCGUAGGUACAAGUGAAUAUUUUCCAUGAAUCAUCGCAAUCUGUCAUAGAACGGGCUCGGUUGCAGCUUCGCAGGUAAUAGGAUGAUUUAGAUGAAAAUGGCUGAGGUUGGGUGAAAGAACAGUUGGGCUCCCUGAUAGACAUCAUGCACAUCAAACCCCGGGAGGAUUUAAUCAAAGCCUUGGUAGCCUUUUGGGAUCCCGUCCACAAUGUGUUCCGUUUCUUAGAUUUUGAGCUCACCCCACUUUAGAAAAAAUAGUCGGGUAUGUUGAUUUUGGCCAAGAGUUAGGAAAGCACCAACUCAUAUUCCCCAGGGCUCCCUUGGUGCACAAGUUCUUCGAUCUUCUGAAUAUCAGCAAACAAAUGAACAAGGCCCACGUGAGCAAAGGGUGUUGUUCUUUCUACUUCCUGUAUUACAGGUUCGGGCACUCAGCCAGGUUUGAAACACAUGAAAAGGGGUUGAAUAACAGACAAGACAAGAGCAUAUGGCAAAUUCAUCAUCGGUUUGCUUUCAUCGUAGCAUUUCUAGGGGUCAUGGUCUUUCCGAAUGCAAAGGGAACUAUAGACGUUUGUACAACCGGAAUCGUACAGGUCCUCGUCGACAAAAAAGAUCGCACACUUGUCCCAUUAGUACUGGCGUACAUUUACCGGGCAUUAACCUUGUGCAAAUCUGGGGAUCAAUUUUUCGAAGGUUGUCAGGUUCUUCUUCAAAUGUGGAUGAUUGAAAACCUUCGCUGUCAUCCUAAGUUCAUGAGAUAUGCUUCGGACGGGAACAAUUUCAUCAAAAUGUAUGAGGAAAGGGUGGAAGAAUACAAACCGCCAGAAGGUUUUGAAGCUUGGGUGUCCUAUUUGAGAAAAUUGAGAGCAAAUCAAAUUGAAUGGACAAUAGGAUGACUUCCAGUAACAGAAGUCAUAUACAUGACCUCUUCAAAGGGCUACUUGAUGAUGAUGGGAGUGAGAAGUAUACAACCAUAUGCACCACAAAGAGUUCCGAGACAACUGGGAAGAUAUCAGGUGAUACCCGAAGAGGCAGAUCUAAGCACCCAAGUCAUCGAAUUGCACCCAGAAGCAAUGCUACCCGAGGCUUUAGUUCAAAACGACUGGAAUAGCUAUCGGUAUCUAAAAAUGACACCCAAGUACCAGACUCGUCUAAGGGCGAAGUUGAUCCCAAUUAUGCUGCUUGGUUUGAAAGAACUUUUUAUGUGAACAAUGAGCAGGAGCCCGAGCCCGAACCCGAGAGGCCCGCCAAAAGGCCUCAUGUUCAAGCCUUCGAUGACAAAAUGCAGGAAAGAUUAGCUUGGGGGGAAAAGGAAAAGAAAUACCAAGCCAGCAUUCACGCUUUGCGAGAAAAGUUGAGAAAUAUCACCUUCAACAAUGAUCUAAAGGCGCAAGAGGCCGAGGGUGAGAGGAAAAGGUUAGUUCAAGAAAAUGAAGCUCUUAGAGCGCAGGUUCGACAGCUGAGAAUAGCAGCCGAGAAUCCGGGGAGAAGCAGGAAAGAUGAAAGGCUCAUUUACAACCUUACCCAAAAGGUGUGUGACUGUGAAGAUGACCUGCAGAAAGUCGAGUCUGAACUAGCAAAAGUACGAACAAAGUUGGCUAAAAAUGCAGAGGGGCGUGUAACUUUCGUUCAACAGAUAAAAUAAAGAUAUGAAAGAGGGGUCACAGGGUGGGAAAAAGAGAUUAGCAACCUUGAAAGUAAAAUGGCUAAACAAGCCAAGAGUUUCAAAGCCGAGAGAGAAGUGAAAAAAGAGGAAAGGAAAAAAGGAGGAAAAACAAGAGAGAAAAGAAAAGGAAAAGGAGAGAAAACAAGAAACUGUGGAAAGGAAAAUAAUGGCAAAACAAGAGAGAGAAGUAUGAGAGAAUAAAGAACAAUGAGAACUCUGAAGAAUAAAAGAAAGGAAAAGUAAAAGAAAGAGGGGUUACAAAUGGAAAUUAGGGAAAAGCCGGGAUGACGCAAGCAAUUGAUCAAAUGCAUAAUAGAAUUGGUUAACUGCUUAGGUGCAUUACAUUCCCCAAAUGUGUGGUUACCUAUCUGUUAAGCUCUAACCACUAACAAGUUUGUUGUUGAUGAUUAGUACAGGCAGGUGGUUAGUUUGAUUGGCAUUCUGGCAACUCACCCUUACAACACCCGAUCCAAAAACAAGUUGAUCAUGGCUAACCAAGAACUUGAUGCAAGUGUGGUAGAUCCGUCAAGAGAGGUGGAAGAAUCGGAAGUUAAUCUGAAAGAUGAGUUGUAUAAGCUGAAACAACAGAUGGCCGAAAUAUACCAAACAUGGGCAAAAGGGCACCCACCACCAGCUUACCCCGCCAACCCUGCUUACAUCCCGCCAUUGGCUUAGUCCCAGGAACCUCCCACUGUGAACUCAUCUCCGGGCUUUCCCAUCUACCAACAAUACCACGACACCACUUCUUAUACAUCAUAAGCUCCACCACCCUAACCAGUCCCGUACCCUCCUCCACCCGCCACUCCUAUUUUUGUAGCACCCCCACCCGUUGCACUACACUGAUCCUCCAGUGAGCCUCUAUUCCAGACUCAUAAUAACCAAUAUUACCCCCGAAGCCCACUUUCAAAGCUCCAGAACCCUAUUCUUACACUCCUCAUUUUGACCUCCAUGUGGAAACCGAGAAGCCACAUAAAAAUCUCGAGCAAGAGGAGAUGUUUAGGAAAGUUAAGAGCUUGGAACAGUCAUUCAAGAAUAUGCAGGGGUUGGGAGGUCAGGUAAGCGUGGCUUACAAAUAUAUAUAUGUUUAUUUCCAGAUGUUCAAUUGUCGGUGGGGUUUAAGAUGCCCAAGUUUGAUUUGUAUGAUGGGCACAGUGAUCCAAUGGCGCAUUUGAGAGGUUUUUGUAGCAAAAUGAGGAGAGCUGGCAGGAAAGACGAGUUACUAAUGGCAUAUUUCAAUCAAAGUCUGAGUGGUUCGGUGCUGGAGUGGUAUACUCGGCAAGAUCACGGCAGGUGGUACACAUGGGAUGAUCUAGCCCAAGCAUUCGCUUGCCAUUUUCAGUAUAACCUCGAGAUUAUCCUAGAUCGCCUGUAUUUGACAAAGAUUGAGAAAAAGCCUGGUGAAAGUUUUAGAGAGUACGACUUUCGUUGGAGAGAGCAAGCAGCGAAGGUUGACCCUCCGAUGAAAGAAAGUGAAAUGGUGGAUUAUUUCCAGCAGGCCUUAGAGCCUACUUAUUUCGGCUAUCUGGUAUCGGCUAUAGGCAAGUCCUUCAAUGGAGUGGUGAAAAUGGGGGCCAUGGUAGAAGAAGGGCUCAAGUCAAACAAAAUCAUGAGCUACUUAACUAUUAAAGCAACCACCGAGGCCAUCCAAAACGGUACCGGGGGAGUGAUUGGAAAGAAGAAGAAAGAGGAUGUCGUAACGAUUGAUUCAGAAGCUUAGUUGGACCUAGGGGCUCGUCCCAUCACUAUAAUCAGCCUCGACCCCACCACCAAACAUACCCCCAUACUCCAUUAACCCACCACAACACUACUACCCACCACCAGACCCCAUUUUCUGUCCACCAUGCCCAAACAUACACUCAACCUCCUGCCCAUGCACAAUGGUGUACGUCAUCCCCACAAAAUACCUACCUAGCUCCACAAAAUGCCUACUCACCCCCACGAACCUACCGAAACCUUCCUAGACCAGAUUUCCGGUCCAAUCAAGCAUUUAAGAAUGAGAGGUUGCAGAAGAAGAAAACCUUCACUCCAUUGGGAAAGUCCUAUACUAGUUUGUUCCACAGGCUGAGAUAAUUGGAUAUGCGGAGGCCGAUCAAGUCAAAAUUGCCAAAUCCUCCCCCGAAAAAUCUUGAUUAUUCUGUAAGCUGCGAAUAUUAUGCUGGUGCUCCGGGGCAUGACACGGAGAAAUGCUGACAUUUGAAAACUGCUAUCCAAGAGCUCAUUGAUACAAAUCGGAUUGAAGUCCAAGCUCCGGAGGCACCCAAUAUCAACCAGAACCCAUUGCUGACCCAUCAUGAGACAAAUAUGAUCGAGAUAGUGCAUAAGGGAGGAGAGCCUAAGAAGCUUUCACAGACUGUCAUGAUGAUUCGGUCCAGUGAGGUCAGGCCGAUUGAAAAGUCAACAAGUGAGAAAUCAGUGAUCAGGUCGAGUGGGGCAAAUAGUGAACCAUCUGCGGUAGUCAAGAAAGGGUCCUCAAGUGAUGUUACAGCGAAACAAGAAAGGGCAAAAGUGGUUGUGCCAGGAGCGGAGAACAAGCCUGUCGUAAUUAUGGAGGGUGCCUACACAGAUCCCAUCUUUAUCAAGCCUAUAACCCAGUUACCGAUAGUUGACAGCAAGGUUAUUCCUUGGAAUUAUGAACGGGUGACAGUGACUUACAAAGGAAAAGAAGUUAAAGAAGAAGUCUAUGAGACCCAUGGUUUGACUCGAUCAGGGAGAUGCUUCGCCCCCGAGGAGCUAAGAAAAGCUAAAACCUCCAAAGAUAACCCAGUGCUAGUGAAGAAAGCGGUAACUGAAGAAGAAGCAGAAGAGUUUUUGAGAAAGAUGAAAGUGCAUGACUAUUCCAUUGUGGAGCAGUUAAGAAAGACGUCUGCUCAGAUUUCAUUGUUGUCAUUGUUAAUCCAUUCAGAUGAGCAUCGAUGUGCCUUGAUGAAAAUCCUGAAUGAGACUCACGUUUUCGACAAAAUCUCAGUGAACCAUCUGGAAAAGAUAGCCAACAAAAUAUUCGAGGUAAACAGGGUCACUUUCUCCGAUGAUGAAUUGUCUGUGGAGGGCACUGAGCACAAUAGAGCUCUCUACCUUACAAUGAAAUGUGAAGAUUCCAUAGUUACUCGGGUAUUGGUCGAUAAUGGUUCGGCGUUCGGGGAUUUGAUGGCGGAGGUAAAGAUUCAGUUGGUGAUAUAGUCCUUGAGCUGACGAUAGGAGCAGUUGAAUUCACUAUAGAGUUCCAGGUGCUGGAUGUAGCUGUUUCCUACAAUCUGUUGUUGGGUCGACCUUGGAUUCAUGCUGUCAAAGCAGUCCCAUCCACCCUGCACCAGAUGGUUAAAUUUGAAUGGGAUAAACAUGAAAUUGUUGUGCACGACGAGGAUAAUCUGUGUGCUCACAGUGAUGCUAUUAUACUGUUCAUUGAGGUUGAAGACGACAAAGGGCCAUGGGUCUAUCAGGUCUUCGAAACAGUGUCAGUUGAGAAAAUUCCAAAAGGGAAAUGCGUUCCAAUUCCAAAGGUAACUGUUGCGUCGGUCAUGGUGGCUUUUGAGAUGUUGAAGAAUGGUUUUGUACCCGGUAAGGGUCUGGGUGCAUCUCUGCAGGGCAUUAUACAACCGGUGUCUCUUCCUAAAAACCUGGGUACCUUUGGUUUGGGGUUCAAGCUUACAGUCGCAGACGUGAAAAGAGCCAGAAAGUUGAAAUAGAGGGCAUGGGUCCUUCCAAAACCUGUCUCACGUCUCUCUAGAUCAUUUGUCAAGCAUGGUACCAGGAAACGACCAACGACAACAGUUCCCGGUUCUAUGAUUGAUGUUGAUGGAGAUUUGAUUGAAAGGUUUGAAAGAUUGUUCGACGAUGUUAACAUGGUGGAAGUUGGAGAGGGUUCGAGUAAAGCAGAUGUGCAAUUUGUUGGGCCAAGUGCAAAGCUUAACAAUUGGGAAGCUACUCCUCUCCUUACCUGGAAGGAGUUUUGGUAGUUUGCUUUGAUUUUCUUUUAGUUUAUCUAGAUUAUUCUAGGGUUGUAAUUCAGAUUCUAUAUUCCAUUCGUUUGGAUGCAUAGACCUUGUUAUCUUUUAAAUUCAGAGAAAUGCAAUUUUCCUUUUCUUCAUUCCUGAUAGUUUUAAUUUUUGUUUUUCUUUUCUUCCUUGUAUAGUUCUUUUUAUGUCGGUUUCAAUAACAUGAUAUGCACGAGGAAUCUUCGGUCCAGUCUUAAAAACCAAUCUAAUUCUGAAAUAAUAAUCCAAUAAAUAGAGUGUGAUGAUGAAUCGGAAUAUGAGGAUGAUGAGGCCUUUGAGGAGAUUAGUAAAGAAUUAAGUCAUUUUGAAGAAAAACACAAGCCUAACCUGAAUGAUACAGAAACAAUCAAUUUAGAGGACUCAUAUAAUGUCAGAGAAACUAAGAUAAGUGUCCAUCUUGAUCCACAAAUCAGGGAGGAGAUAAUUAAAGCAUUAUUUGAAUACAAAGAUAUUUUGCAUGGUCAUAUGACGACAUGCUAGGUCUAAGCACUGACUUGGUGGUUCACAAAUUGCCCACUAACCCGGCAUUCCCUCCCAUCAAGCAGAAGUUGAGGAAGUUUAAAACUGAUAUGAGUGUGAAGAUUAAAGAAGAGGUCACCAAACAAUUUGAUGUAAAAGUCAUUCGAGUCACGCAGUAUCCCACUUGGUUAGCCAAUGUAGUGCCUAUGCCAAAGAAGGAUGGCAAGAUCAGGGUGUGUGUUGAUUACCGUGAUCUUAACAAGGCAAGUCCAAAGGAUAAUUUCCCAUUGCCAAAUAUCCACAUUUUGAUUGAUAAUUAUGCCAAACAUGAGACUGGGUCUUUUGUGGAUUGCUAUGCGGGCUAUCAUCAGAUCUUAAUGGAUGAGGAAGAUGAAGAAAAGAUGGCAUUCAUCAUGCCAUUGGGAAUGUAUUGCUAUCGAGUAAUGCCUUUUGGUUUGAAAAAUGUUGGGGCAACUUACAUGAGGGCAAUGACCACCAUAUUCCAUGACAUGAUACAUAGGGAGAUCGAGGUUUACAUGGACGAUGUGAUCAUAAAGUCCAGGAAGCAGUCUGACCACAUCGGAGAUUUGAAAAAGUUCUUCCAAAGGAUCCACAGUUACAAUCUUAAGCUCAGUCCUGCAAAAUGUGCAUUCGGUUUUUCGUCUAGAAAAUUGCUGGGAUUCAUAGUCAGUCGUCGGGGUAUUGAAUUGGACCCGUUAAAGAUUAAAGUUAUCCCAGAAUUGCCACCCCUGAGGAACAAGACUGAGGUGAUGAGUCUGUUAGGGAGGUUGAACUACAUCAAUAGGUUUAUUGCCAAGCUCACGACAACUUGUGAGCCUAUAUUCAAGCUGUUAAAGAAGGAUGUUGCGGUCAAGUGAACAGAUGAGUGUCAAAAAGUAUUUGAUAAGAUAAAGGGGUAUUUGUCAAACCCACAUGUGUUGGUCCCACCGGAACUAAGGAGACCUUUGAUUCUAUAUUUGACGGUCUUGGAUAAUUCAUUCGGUUGCGUAUUGGUCAGCAUGACAUCACCGGCAUGAGGGAGCAAGACAUAUAUUAUCUCAGCAAGAAGUUCACAUCUUAUGAGGUUAAGUACACUCACCUUGAAAGGACAUGUUGCGCCCUAACUUGGGUGGCACAGAAGUUGAAGCAUUAUUUGUCAUCUUACACUACUUACCUCAUUUCUCGCUUGGAUCCAUUAAAGUAUAUCUUUCAGAAGCCUAUUCCCACAGGGAGGCUCGCAAAGUGGCAGAUCUUACUCACAGAAUUUGACAUCGUCUAUGUGACUCGGACUGCGAUGAAAGCCUAAGAGUUGGCUGACCAUUUGGCCGAGAACCCGGUGGAUGAAGAAUAUGAACCUUUGAAGACUUACUUCCCUGAUGAAGAGGUAAUGCACAUUAAUGAUGUUGAACAGGUUGAAAAUCCCGGGUGGAAACUUUUCUUUGAUGGGGCUGCUAACAUGAAAGGCGUUGGGAUAGGAGCGGUACUUAUUUCUGAAAUAGGGUAUCACUACCCUAUUACAGCUCAACUUCGUUUCUACUAUACUAACAACAUGGCUAAGUACGAGGCGUGCAUCUUGGAUUUGAGGUUAGCCGUAGACAUGGGUGUCCAGGAAGUCUUGGUCUUGGGAGACUCAAACCUUCUAGUGCACCAAAUUCAAGGAGAAUGGGAAAUACGGGAUAUAAAGCUCAUACUGUACCGACAAUGUUUGCAUGAUCUUUGUCAACGGUUUCAAUCAAUAGAGUUUAGGCAUAUUUAAAAGAUUCAUAAUGAAGUUGCUGAUGUUUUAGCUACUUUGGCGUUAAUGUUACAUCACCCAGAUAAGGCUUAUAUGGAUCCUUUGCAGAUUCAGGUCCGCGAUCAACAUGUUUACUAUAAUAUGGUGGAAGAAGAACUUGAUGGUGAGCCGUAGUUCCACGAUAUCAAGGAGUAUAUCAGGAUGGGGGUAUAUCCAGUACAAGCCAUAGUUGAUCAAAAGAGAACAAUUCGAUGAUUGGCAAGUGGAUUUUUCUUCAGUGGAGGGGUUUUGUACAAAAGAACUCCAGAUCUUGGAUUGUUAAGAUGUAUAGAUGCUAAACAAGCCACGACUAUCAUGACCGAAGUACAUUCCGGAGUUUGUGGACCAUAUAUGAGUGGGUAUGUUCUGGCAAAGAAGAUUCUUCGAGCAGGUUAUUAUUGCCUCACCAUGGAGCGAGAUUGUAUCAGUUUUGUGCGCAAAUGUCAUCAAUGCCAAGUACACGGAGAUUUGAUUCAUUCUCCGCCAUCUAAAUUACAUACAAUGUCUGCACCAUGGCCCUCUGUUGCUUGGGGUAUAGAUGUCAUUAGACCAAUUGAACCAGCAGUAUCCAAUAGGCACAGGUUCAUUCUGGUGGCCAUUGAUUAUUUCACCAAGUGGGUUGAAGCUAAAACUUUCAAGUCCAUGACCAAGAAAGCAGUGGUCGAUUUUGUGCACUUAAAUAUCAUUUGCCGGUUCAGGAUCCCGAAGGUAAUCAUCACCGAUAAUGGUGCUAAUCUCAACAGUCAUUUGAUGAAAGAGGUAUGUCAACGGUUUAAGAUUACGUAUCACAAUUCCACCCCAUACCGCCCCAAGGCGAAUGGAGCAGUCGAGGCAGCCAACAAGAACAUAAAGAAGAUACUCCGGAAAAUGGUGGAAGGUUCCAAGCAAUGGCAUGAAAAGUUGCCUUUUGCGUUGUUGGGUUAUCGCACUACUGUUCGCACUGCAGUAGGUGCGACUCCUUAUUUGUUGACAUAUGACACUGAUACAGUGAUACCCGCAAAAGUUGAAGUCCCUUCCCUUCGGAUUGUCGCUGAGGCCAAAAUUGAUGAUGUUGAGUGGUUCAAAACCCGCUUAGAGCAAUUGAGUUUGAUCGAUGAGAAAAUAUUGGCAGCAGAAUGUCAUGGCCAAUUGUAUCAAUAGAGAAUGACAAGAGCAUAUAACAAGAAGGUACGUCCACGGAAGUUUGAAGUAGGUCAGCAAGUAUUGAAAUGUAUCCUUCCACAUCAGGCUGAAGCAAAAGGCAAGUUCGUUCCAAAUUGGCAGAGGCCUUUCAUUGUAACGAGAGUGUUGUCCAAUAGUGCUUUGUAUUUAACAGAUAUAGAAGGCAAAUGUGUAGAAAUGACGUUCAAUUCUAAUGUAGCCAAAAGAUAUUAUGUAUGAUUUCUUUGGUUAAAUUGUGUUUAUUUGUACUUGGCAUGUUUGGAAGAUUGGAAUGACGAAGGCAUUUUUUUCUGCUAUCUAAACACUUUAUCCUUUGUUACCCCUUUUUGGGCCUUAUUUAUUUCCUUCCAUACCCCUCUUUUGGAAUCAGUAAUAAAGUUCAGAAAUGCAGGCGCGAGAGGUAAGAAAAAGAAAAGAAGAAAAAAGGGGAAAAGGAAAAAAAAGAAAAGAAAGCAAGAAGAAGUAAAGAAAAAAAAGAACAACAAAACAACAAAAAGAGAAAAGGAAGAAAGAAAGAAAAGAAGGAGAAAAGAGAAAAUCACAACAACAAAGCAAUUCUAUGACAUGAACUACGUCUGACCUGAUUCCUUUUAAGGAUACGUAAGCAGCCUCACAGUUCGGUCCCAUCGAAGUAAAAAUCCAAAAGUCCUCAAGAAAAGAAACUGGGGCAAAAGUUGCGGUCGUUGUAACAAAUUUGAUUCCAAGGUUGUAAUUGUGAAUCCAGUUGAGUUGUUUUGAGCCUUUUGAUACCCUUUCUUUCUAACUCCAGCCAAAAGCCCACAUUAUGGUCCAGAGAAAGACCUUCCAAUCAGUCUUCGAGAGAUGCCAAGUCGAGCAAGUAGAGGUGAUUCAUAUCAGGGGCACCACUCUGGUCCAAACAAGGAAAAUGAAAAAUGAGAGAGUCUUAUUGGUGAAAACCCUCGCGGGCACUGUAAGGUGAUGGAUGCUGAGAGAAAAUAAAAAAUGAGAGAGUCUUAUUGGUGACAACCCUCGCGAGCACCGUAAGGCGACGAAAGCUGAGAGAAAAUAAAAAAUGAGAGAGUCUUAUUGGUGAAAACCUUCACGGGCACCUUAAGGCGAAAAUGAGUUGAGAGAUGAACAAAUGAGAGAGGUUUGUUGGUGAAAAAUUUUCAGGACACCGCAGGCCGAACAAGGUCAAAAUUUUGGUGAAGAAAUUGGGUUUGGAAGAUCUCGGGGCGUAAAGUACGGCAACUGAAAGUUGAUUGGUUAGAUAGAUUGGGCCGAUUAAUCCGAUAUGCAUGUCAUGAUCAUUAGUACCAGCUGUUCCAUUCAGAUAAGUCUCUUUUUCCCCUUCUAGCAGUCAUCCGGUUUUGGAUUUUUCUUAUCCUUAACUCUCAAAGUCAUUGCAUUUCAUUUCUUUUGGAUUUAUUUCUCUAAGAUGUUUUCAAUGUCAGUCCUGUUUAAGCAAAUAAGAAAGGAUUUCAAAGCUCAUUACCAACUUCCAAAAUUGCACAAAGUACAGUGUGUCCAGAACAUACCAAAGAUAGUAUGAUGUAAAACAGGAUAUAAAGGGUCAGCGAAAGUUUCAUCGGUGGAAUAAUUUAGUAAUUUCACGGGAGAUGUAGAGGUUCAGAUAGAUGGGUCAAAUAUGUAAUACAACGGUUUGGGUAUAGAACACUCGGGUCAUCCAAGGUCACGUGGGUGAAGGUCAAGCGGUUCUCGGCCAGUUCGAAAAAACCAGGCAAAGCAAAACACGACAGCGGAGAGGCCACCUUCAGCAAGAAUGCCACAAAAUAACCACCAUAUUUUAAACUAACAAGAUUUUUCUUUGAUUGGAACAGAGGCAAAAAGUUUUGUUGUUUCAGAGAAACCCUCCGUAAGAAUAGGCAAGCACUAGAUAGGUUUGACCGUAAAUUCUCAGGACCCUCCUGGAAAAUGAGACCUAGUUUAAAAUUCAAAACAACCAUGAAUAGAAAAAUCUAGCAUAAAUGUACCCCAAAGGAAUAUAAGUUGGCUUCAGAGUUUUUAUAUUUGAGAUAGGAUUCAAUUAGGAGUUUUCAGGGUCCUCCUGGAUAAUGGGAUGUAGUUUUAAGACUUUCUUAGAUAACAAGAUUUAGCGGAAGUCACAUCUUUAGAAGAUAUAAUUUAGCUAUAAAACUAUCAUUGGGAUCUGGCUUUCAAAUUCUUAGUGAUAUUUGGUAACAUGAUUCAGUUAACACUCAUAGAUGUGCCCAGCCAACAAACUGGGGCAGAUUUUUUUUUUAUUUUGUCUGUUUUGUUGAAAUGAGGCACCCACCUGGAGAACAAGGGAAAAUAACAUGAGUUUCAAUUAUGGAAAGGAGUUCAGACCCAAGCAAUCAGGCACCCACCUGGAGAACAAGAGGAAGUAGCAAUUUUAGAAGCAGUUCAAGUUUCGGCAAUCAGGCAUCAUCUGGAGAACAAGGGAAUACAGUUCAAGUUUUGGCAAUCAGGCGCCCACUUGGAGAACAAGGGAAUAUAGUUCGAGAUUUGGCAAUCAGGUGCCCACCUGGAGAGCAAGGGGAUACAGUUCAAGUUUUUGAAAUCAGGCGCCCAUUAGAGAGCAAGGGAAUACAAUUAAGGUUUUGGCAAUCAGGCGCCCACCUGGAGAAUAAGGGAAGACAGUUCAAGUUUCAAGGGNNNNNNNNNNNNNNNNNNNNNNNNNNNNNNNNNNNNNNNNNNNNNNNNNNNNNNNNNNNNNNNNNNNNNNNNNNNNNNNNNNNNNNNNNNNNNNNNNNNNNNNNNNNNNNNNNNNNNNNNNNNNNNNNNNNNNNNNNNNNNNNNNNNNNNNNNNNNNNNNNNNNNNNNNNNNNNNNNNNNNNNNNNNNNNNNNNNNNNNNNNNNNNNNNNNNNNNNNNNNNNNNNNNNNNNNNNNNNNNNNNNNNNNNNNNNNNNNNNNNNNNNNNNNNNNNNNNNNNNNNNNNNNNNNNNNNNNNNNNNNNNNNNNNNNNNNNNNNNNNNNNNNNNNNNNNNNNNNNNNNNNNNNNNNNNNNNNNNNNNNNNNNNNNNNNNNNNNNNNNNNNNNNNNNNNNNNNNNNNNNNNNNNNNNNNNNNNNNNNNNNNNNNNNNNNNNNNNNNNNNNNNNNNNNNNNNNNNNNNNNNNNNNNNNNNNNNNNNNNNNNNNNNNNNNNNNNNNNNNNNNNNNNNNNNCGCCCAUUAGAGAGCAAGGGAAUACAAUUAAGGUUUUGGCAAUCAGGCGCCCACCUGGAGAAUAAGGGAAGACAGUUCAAGUUUCAAGGGAAAGUAGUUUCAGGGAAAAGCAGUUUGAGUUUCAGCAAUCAGGCGCCCACUUGGAGAACAAAGGAAAACAGUUCAAGUUUCAAGGGAAAGCAGUUUCAAAGGAAAGCAGUUCAAGUUUUAGCAAUCAGGCGCCCACCUGGAAAACAAGGGAAUACAACUCAAGUUUCAAGAUGAGUCAGUUCGAGUUCAGCAAUCAGGUGCCCACCUGGAGAACAAGGGAAAACAACUCAAGUUUCAAGAGGAGUUAGUUCGAGUUCAGCAAUCAGGCGCCCACCUCGAGAACAAGGGAAAAUAACUCAAGUUUUGAAGAAACACAGUUCAAGUGUUGGCAAUCAGGCGCCCACCGGGAAAAUAAGGGAAUUCACUUCAGAAUGCAAUUCAAGUCAGCAACAAAGAAAGCUCGCGGCAAGAAUGCGUGUCAAUAGUCCGAGAUGAUCAAUAGAAGUUAGUCACAAUCCAGAAUUAAAAAAAAGCAAGAAGUGAAUCCAAAUGCAGAAGUAGAUGAAAGAUGUGAGUUGCUCAAUACAUGGCUGAAAUCACGAGCAUUGUAUGUCCGGUUUUAAUCUGAAGAAGAAUGAACUAGCACCUGCAGCUAGCAAACGGCAAGGUUAAAAUCUAAAGUCUGCAUGAAGAACCAUUCAAGACUCAAGAUCAAGCUUCAGAAGACUUAUAGAUAGGAAUCAUGUAACUCAUAGUUGACAGGCUUAGUUAGUCUUUUUCAUUUUUUGAUUUUGAUGUAAUAACAGGACCGCGGACCGGAACCUCGUUGGAAUGGCACCUCACUCAGCUCUCCAACUCAUGUCUCCAUCACUUUCCCGAACUACACUGACCUGAUUCCUUUAUAGUCAAGGAUAUGUAGGCAACCUCGGAAGCAAGGUGCGGUCAAAUCUUUCAAAAAUGCUUCCCAUGGGGUAUUCAAGCGGGCAAAAAUCGCUCGUAUCCACUCACUUUAUCUUUGCACGAAAACUCUUCAUGUUUCCGAGCAAAGAGGGGCAGUUGUGAGCACGUGAUUUUUGCCCCAUAGGAAUUACUCUCAUAAAAUACAAGAAAAACAAUUUUCUCCAAUUUUUGAAAUUUUUAUAGGAUUUUUUUGGAGAAUUUUAAUUAAUUAUUUGCCUUUUUGUGAAUAUCUAAUUUUCAUUAAAAUAAAAAAAUACCAAAAUACCAUGCAUUGCAUUUAGGUUUGAUUUUACAUUUUUUGGAAUUAAUUAGUAACUAUUUCUUUGGUUAAAAAUGAAAAUCACAAAAAUAGCUCAUUCUACACCUUUUAAUUUUUAGUUUAUUGAUUUUUCCCUUUUAGUUUAGGACUAAGUAAUUGUUAUAAUUAUUUUCAUUAGAUAAUUAGUUUAAUUUUACAAUUUAGAUAAUUUAGGAUUUUAAUUUUUAGGAUUUCAUUAAUUAAAGAAAAAUUUAAAAAGGGGGAUAAGGAAAAAGGUCUAGUGUAUUUGGGCUGAAAAUCCAAUUGUCCAAACUUCCCCAGCCCAAAUAGCAAUUACACACCCAGAUCUAGCCCCAGAAAACCCUGACCCGUCACUGACCCGCCCCAUUACCUCUAACAUAACAGACCCCUUACUAACAAAACCUAAAUUCCCAAAAAUCCUAAAGCGGCGCCCCUGACUAUUGUUCUUCUUCUCCAGUCCGAUUCAAUCCCAACUCUCCUGAAAACUCAGGCGAGUUCACUCACGCGCACCCUUAUCUCACCACGUCAGCAAGAUUCUAACGGCCUCUGACAAAAUAAGAAGGUUCCUUCCGAAUUUUUCACGUGCCUUUUAACUCUUGAGCGAUUUGUUGGAUGGAUGGGAGCCGUGGAUGGAUGGAAUCAAUCUAUGCCCUCCAUCUGUCCCUAAAUCGUUCACAGAAGAUUUGAGAGGAUUUCUAGAUUUUUAGAAGAAGGUUCGAGAUUUUUGAGGGGUUAUAUAAGGUAAGGAUUUUCUUGUUUAGGGGGGGGGGGGCUGAAAAAACAGAGAAUUUUGAGGAAUUUUUCGGGCAGAUUUAAUUUGAUAGAAAAAUUAGGGUUCUAGGAAAUGUUUUCUUCUGCUCUGUUGUUCAUCUUCGUUUUUUAGUUUAAUUCCAGACAUAACAAAAAAAAACUACAAAUAUUGGCUUCUUUUAGUUUGAUAUUCGAUCUUUGUUUUUUUCAUCUUUAAAUUCGGAAAGUUCACUUUUAUUAUGGAGUUGGAUUGAGUUCGAGAGUCGAAGUUGUUCGAAUCGUCGAUUGCUUGCCGAUCGAGGUUUUGUUCGUGGUUGCUAGUUUCUAUUUCUCAGCUGUUGUCACUCCCAAUUUCAAGGCCGGAUUCGUUUGUAUUAGAUUCUAAACGAAAUUAAUCAAAGCUUCACGCAAUUAGGUUCAAUCUCUUUUUCUUUUCUUAUGUCUGUUUGGAUGUUGAUUGAAAAUACGAUAAGAGCCAUGGGAAUCCAUUUAUAGAAGUAAUUCUUUGAUUAAUUCCAUUAGAGGUUGAAUUUGGAGUUAGCAUUCAGUUUCAGUUCACGUCUGGAAAUGAUAUUUGACAUGUCGUUUGUUGUUUGAAUCCUACACUCACUGUUUUGAUUUGC
rnacentral:lncRNA from 1 species